UACGAAGGGUGCAAACGUUGCUCGGAAUUACUGGGCGUAAAGCGCGCGCAGGCGGUUCUUCAAGUCAGAGGUGAAAGCCCAGGGCUCAACCCUGGAAUGGCCUUUGAGACUAGAGAACUAGGGUACGGGAGAGGUGAGUGGAAUUCCGAGUGUAGAGGUGAAAUUCGUAGAUAUUCGGAAGAACACCAGUGGCGAAGGCGGCUCACUGGCCCGUUACCGACGCUCAGGCGCGACAGCGUGGGGAGCAAACAGG
rnacentral:rRNA from 1 species